rnacentral:rRNA from 2 species
CGCUGAACUUAAGCAUAUCAAUAAGCGGAGGAAAAGAAACCAACAGGGAUUGCCCUAGUAACGGCGAGUGAAGCGGCAACAGCUCAAAUUUGAAAUCUGGCCCUAGCGGUCCGAGUUGUAAUUUGUAGAGGAUGCUUUUGGUUAGGUGCCUUCUGAGUUCCCUGGAACGGGACGCCAGAGAGGGUGAGAGCCCCGUACGGUUGGACACCGAGCCUCUAUAUAGCUCCUUCGACGAGUCGAGUAGUUUGGGAAUGCUGCUCUAAAUGGGAGGUAAAUUUCUUCUAAAGCUAAAUACCGGCCAGAGACCGAUAGCGCACAAGUAGAGUGAUCGAAAGAUGAAAAGUACUUUGAAAAGAGGGUUAAAUAGCACGUGAAAUUGUUGAAAGGGAAGCGUUUGCGACCAGACUUUUUCCAGGCGGAUCAUCCUGUGUUCUCACCGGUGCACUUCGCCUGGUUUAGGCCAGCAUCGGUUCUCUUAGGGGGAUAAAGGCCUGGGGAACGUAGCUCCUUCGGGAGUGUUAUAGCCCCUAGCGUAAUACCCUUCGGGGGACCGAGGAACGC